rnacentral:rRNA from 1 species
GACGAACGCUAGCGGCGUGCUUAACACAUGCCAGUCGAACGGAAAGGCCCUGCUUGCAGGGUGCUCGAGUGGCGAACGGGUGAGUAACACGUGGGUGAUCUGCCCCUUACUUUGGGAUAAGCCUGGGAAACUGGGUCUAAUACUGGAUAGGACCAUGCUGUAGGUGGUGUGGUGGAAAGAUUAGUUUCGGUAAGGGAUGAGCUCGCGGCCUAUCAGCUUGUUGGUGGGGUAAUGGCCUACCAAGGCGUCGACGGGUAGCCGGCCUGAGAGGGUGGACGGCCACAUUGGGACUGAGAUACGGCCCAGACUCCUACGGGAGGCAGCAGUGGGGAAUAUUGCACAAUGGGCGCAAGCCUGAUGCAGCGACGCCGCGUGGGGGAUGACGGCCUUCGGGUUGUAAACUCCUUUCAGCCAUGACGAAGCCCUUGUGGUGACGGUAGUGGUAGAAGAAGCACCGGCUAACUACGUG